GUAAACCUUUAGGGACAUUCGAUAAAAUUGGAACGAUAUAGAGAAGAUUAGCAUGGCCCCUAUACAAGGAUGACGCACACAAAUCAAGAAAUGACCAAGAGGAAG